AGGACGAGGUAGAGGGAGGUUGAGCAUGAGAAGAGUGAGAGGUAGGGGUAGAGCUGGUAGAGGAGUUCAUGGCCAAAGAAGACAACAACUUUCAAAUGAAAUUAGAGCAACCUUAGUUGAUCAUGUCAUCAACCAUGGGCUGACAAUGUGAGAGGCUGGACAGAGAGUGCAGCACAACUUGAGCUGUUUUACUGUCGCCUGUGUCAUCCGGACAUUUAGACUGGAGUACAGACACAACCAUGGUGGAGGAAGGGGCCACAUGUUCACCGGGGUACAGGAAGCUGCCAUUGUAAACUUGGUUUUGGAAAAUAAUGAAAUCAGAUUACGAGAAAUUCGAAGCCACAUCAUCCAAGACAACACCAUAUUCAACAACAUUCAACGAGUCAGUCUGUCCACAUUGGCUCGCAUUCUCAAGCUGAACCAAAUCAGAAUGAAACAACUUUAUAAGGUGCUGUUUGAGAGAAACUCUCAAAGAAACAAAGAGGUCAGACGAGCAUAUGUGGAUAGAGUACUGGAAAUGGAUCCAAUCCCACAUGAGUUCAUCUUUAUAGAUGAGGCUGGGUUCAACCUAGCAGAGACCAGGAGAAGGGGGAGAAAUGUCAUUGGCCACAGAGCCAUUAUAGAUGUUCCUGGCCGACGUGGUGGGAACAUCACAAUGUGCGCUGCCAUCUCCAAUACGCAUGGUGUCCUCCGUAGUCAUGCCAACCUUGGACCAUACAACACAGCCCAUAUUCUCACAUUUCUGGACAGACUCCACAACAUUCUCAUACCACCAGAGCGUAUGAAUGAUGCAGACCAUCAAAGAACCCGGUACGUUGUAGUAUGGGACAACGUGAGCUUUCAUCGUGCAGCCCCAGUCCUAAACUGGUUUGCUGACCACACAUAAUUUCUCAUGCAAUACCUCCCACCAUACUCACCAUUUCUGAACCCCAGAGAAGAGUUAUUUUCGGCAUGGCGGUGGAAGGUAUACGACCGGCAGCCCUUUGUGCGCAGGCCUCUUGUGCAGGCUAUGGAAGAGGCAUGUGAUGAGAUUGAUGUGGGCGUGAUUCAGGGAUGGAUAAGGCACUCAAGGCACUUUUUCCCUCGAUGUCUGGCAAGGAGAAGAUAUUGCCUGUGAUGUGGACGAGGCGUUGUGGCCAGACCCAGCUCUGCAGCAAGAUACUGCCUGUGAUGUGGACGAGGCGUUGUGGCCAGACCCAGCUCUGCAGCAAGAUGCUGCCUGUGAUGUGGACGAGGCGUUGUGGCCAGACCCAGCUCUGCAGCAAGAUGCUGCCUGUGAUGUGGACGAGGCGUUGUGGCCAGACCCAGCUCUGCAGCAAGAUGCUGCCUGUGAUGUGGACGAGGCGUUGUGGCCAGACCCAGCUCUGCAGCAAGAUGCUGCCUGUGAUGUGGAUGAGGCGUUGUGGCCAGACCCAGCUCUGCAGCAAGAUGCUGCCUAAUUAUUUUUCUUGCCUCUUUUUUUCUAUAUAUUUUUUCUGCAAUUUUCUUUUUCAGUUUACUGUUUUUUUGUGAGCAUAUUUUUGUUCAGUCCAAUGUAAAUAAAUCUGCUGUGCAUAUGUUGCACUGACUUGUUUGGUGAAAAAUAAAUA